AUAUAUAUAUAUAUAUAUAUAUAUGAACUUGUUAAAGCCAUACCCUCUUUCGAUUGAAUGAUUCAAAUUAUGCUAGUCUUAUGUUUCUAAUCUCAUUCUCAUCCCAUAUUUCCAAUUUUGCAUUUCUAUACUCCAAUCUCUCUCCCUAUCCUUGUGUCAACUCUACCUCCAUACCUUCCCUCCCCAAUUCCACUUCUUUUCUUGAUCCUCUCUAAUCCCACUCCUUCUCUUUACCAUCUCCGAUCCCACUUAUAUUUUCACUUUCUCCAAUCCCACUCAUAUGUUCUCUUUUUCAAAUACCACUCCCAUCUCCUCCCUCUCCAAUCUCACUUCCAUAUCUU
rnacentral:lncRNA from 1 species